CUCCUUUCUGCCAUUCGUUGCUAUUUGUGUUUAGUCGGCUGAGUUCCUGCUUCAGCUGCCGGUUCUCCUCCUGAGAUCCUCCUGAGACUUUCUGAGCUCCUCUUCCAGUUGCUGGAGCCGGGCGUCCACAAGCUGUAACAACAAAUAUGAACUGGGCAACUAGCAAUACCUCAGCCACAUGACACCUGCCUCCAAAUGAGUCUUGACAAGACAGUACAGUGACUGACGUCACCGCCAUGUCUGCACAUUUGUCACACAACCCGUGAAAGGCGUCAGCGUAGACUGGUGGUUCAAGUGUCCGCCUAAUAAACUGAUCUAUCGUCGGUUACACACGAUCAUACAUGCUGACUUGUCAGUGCUUUCUCACUCACCCACUACCUUUUGUAAGGCACACAACCAUGUUGAAUCACAUGCUACAUAGGAAUAAGACGGUAAGGGUGUAAAUAACCUGUAAUCAUAUGGUAGAACAAGUUGAUGCAGAAACAUUAACAAA